UGAGGAAUAUUGCGCAAUGGGGGAAACCCUGACGCAGCAACGCCGCGUGGGUGAAGAAGGCCUUCGGGUCGUAAAGCCCUUUCGGACGGGACGAACGCUCCGCGGUGACAACCCGCGGAGUCUGACGGUACCGUAAGAAGAAGCACCGGCUAACUCCGUGCCAGCAGCCGCGGUAAUACGGAGGGUGCAAGCGUUGUUCGGAAUUACUGGGCGUAAAGCGCGUGUAGGCGGCCUUGCAAGCCAGACGUGAAAGCCCUCGGCUUAACCGGGGAAGUGCGUCUGGAACUGCUCGGCUCGAGUACGGGAGAGGGAGGCGGAAUUCCCAGUGUAGAGGUGAAAUUCGUAGAUAUUGGGAGGAACACCGGUGGCGAAAGCGGCCUCCUGGACCGAUACUGACGCUGAGACGCGAAAGCGUGGGGAGCAAACAGGAUUAGAUACCCUGGUAGUCCACGCUGUAAACGAUGGGCACUAGGUGUGGGGGGUAUCCACUCCUCCCGUGCCGCAGCUAACGCACUAAGUGCCCCGCCUGGGGAGUACGGCCGCAAGGCUA
rnacentral:rRNA from 1 species